AUGGAGUUCCUGGGCCAGGGAUCAGAUAUGAGCCGCAGUUGUAACCAAUACCGCAGCUGGGGCAACACCAGAUCCUUUAACCCACUGUGCUGGGCUGGGGAUUGAACCUGCGUCCUGGAGCUGCAGCGAUGCUGAUCUUAUUGCACCACAGGGGAUUUGAGUGUCACAUAGUAAGUUCAUAGCUGAGCUGAGGUUGGAAUAAUUUUCUAGAUUUACAACACAGAGAUUUUUAUUUUUUCUUUCCUACACCUUGAUUCAGUUGAAAGGCAUCAACCUGUCCUAAUCCAAUCAAAUGCUCAACGGACAGUCAUUAGGACAACUGGAAAGAACUAACUGACGUCAAGAUGGUUGAUUCAGUGGCCACAUGCAGCUAUGGCCUCACGUAACAAAAAUGUGCUCUGCUAAGAAAUACUCCCCCAGGAGGGCCCAAGGGAACACACUGAGAGCCCGGACCCACAGAGGCCAGUCCAGACGAUGUUUGAGGGUGAACAUCACAUUACACAUAAAUAUACACACAGCACUGUGCACUUCCUGGCUUAAAAGUCCUUUCUGUUGGAUUUUUCUCUGGAGAAGGACUAAAUUCUCAGGAUAGGACCCUCCACUGGAGUCCAGGCUGAGGUGAGGCUUGGGGCUACCUCUAGCCAUGAAUACAUCACCACGCAGAGGGAUGGUGAGGGGGGAACAGUUUUGAGUCAGUAGCAACCACAAUUCCCACAAGGGAAUAACGAGGAAGCUGAGUAGCUGGAAGGAUUAAACACUGGCCUUUCAUUUUUAGGAUCACAUUCUGCGUGCAACCGCAGCUCCCAACCUGAAAGACUGGCCGUCUCAGAUUUGCCCAUAAACAUAGAGAAAUCUGCCUCUAAUGUAAUCUGACAUCGUCCCUACUCUCUGUUAACCAUUUGUGGGUAGGGCUUGAAGAAGCAUGUGUCAAACAGUACCCUGCAGAUCCCAGGGGCUGCCAACUUCAGUAUUUUUUCUACCCACACUUUUCCCAGGUAUUUUCUUGUCAGUUAAGCCAGUCUGGCUGAACAGUAGGUAUAGUUUACCAUCUCUGAUAAAACGAUAAGAGAAAAAUAGUAUCAUUUGACAUCUUAUCCUGCCCACCCCCUGCCCCAGUCAAGGAGAUGCCAAUUAAUUUGUCAUUUGUGUUUAAAUUUCUUUGGUACAAAGACCAGUCUGGUAGUAUUUGGAAUUUGCUAGUAAUUCAAUAGUUCAAUAUUUAAACUUUUUAAUGUUCAAAUUUGGACUGCUUUUUUAAUAGCUUUAAAUUUGAAGCACAAAACAUUUUUGUUUUUGAAAAAUUGUUUCAGUUUGCUUUAUUAUGAAUUCUGAGCUUUUAAAAAUUAUUUUUUUAUUUUUUAUUAAAGUAUAGUUAAUUUAUAAUGGUGUGCCAAUUUUGGCUGUACAGCAAAGUGACCCAAUCAUACAUUCAUAUACAAUUCUUUUUCUCUAUUAUCUUAUAUCAUGGUCUAUCCCAAGAGACUGGAUGUAGUUCCCUAUGCUAUUCGGUAGGACCUCAUUGCUUACUCAUGCUAAAUGUAAUAGUUAGCCCCUACUAACCCCCAAAUCUCAGUCCAUCCCACUCUCUUCCCCCUCCUCCUUGGCAACUACAAGUCUCUUCUCUAUGCCUGUGAGUCUGUUUAUAGAUAGGUCCAUUUGUGUCAUAUUGUAGAUUCCACAUAUAAAGUAUAUCAUUUGUCUCUUUCUGAAUUAAUCCACUUAAUAUGAGAACUACUAGUUGCAUCCAUGUUGUUGCAAAUGGCAUUAUGUCAUUCUUUUUUAUGGCUGAGUAGUAUUCCAUUGUGUGUAUGUAUUGCAUCUUCUUUAUCCAUUCAUCUGUUGAUAUGCAUUUAGGUUGUCUCCAUGUCUUGUUUCAUGUAUUGUGAAUAGUGCUGCAAUGAACAUAGGACUGCAUGUAUCUUUUUGAAUGAAAAGUUUUGUCCGGAUAUAUGCCCAGGAGUGGGAUUGCUGGAUCAUAUGGUACCUCCAUAUUGUUUUCCAUAGUGGGUCCACCCACCCACAUUCCCACCACAAGGGUUCCCUUUUCUGCACACCCUUUCCAGCAUUAAAAACACACACAUACACAAAAAUCGUUUUAUAUGUUCCAAACUGUCCUUUGGAAGAAGAAAAUGCUCUUCUAUCAAAUGUCAAUUGAUGAUGGAUGCUACAAUAAAAUUCAAACUUUGUUGGGUCUGCAUGUGCAAAGGGCUGCAUGUGGGCUAAACAUUCUCUGGGCACCCGGUCGAUUUGUCUUCUAGUCUUCCACAUCCACAGUAUUCACUAAUGAGGGUGCAUUGGUAGGGGACUGAGAAAGGAUUCCCUAGGUCUGUUAAUUUACUUGGAAUAAUUCAUUAGCUGAUACUUUUAGCUGUGAAUUUAGCUGGUAAAUCCCAGGUCAGCCCAACGUUAUGUGUGGAGUGGGUAGUGCCGUUUUUGUGCAAGGAUUUCACGAGGAUGGAUUAAAGCCCUCUCUCCCAUAGUUACCCUUACUGUAGGAGCUUGUUAAUAAAGAGCUCUUCAGAGCCUUUCCUUUGUACAGCCCCUAUAUGAAUAUUUAUGGAGUAUUCCAUUGGUAAACAGCAUUAAAAUAUAAACAGAGCAUAGCAAGAAAGAGGAAGGCCAUUUUCACCUAAUACAUAGCAGUGCCGUGACACGCUGGGGUUCCAUUCCUGGAAUGGCUGCAGAACAGCACAGAAGGAAAAAUCAUUUGCUUAACAAACCAGGAGGGCAGCAAAUCCUGUGGUCUGGUGGAACUUUGGUACCCUUGUUAAUUGUGUCUUCUGAGUGAGUGGUAGAUACACAUACAAACAUGCAGACGAACAUGCACCUGAUUUUUGUAAUCACCGAAAUGGGUCCAUUUAAAAUGGCUAUUUUUGUAGAUAGGAAGUAGUCACAUAUGAGAAUUUUCAUAGAUUCCACCACAUUAAUACUGCCCCAGGCUUCUGGCCCUUCUCCUUUUGGGCACAUGGUGGGCUGGGAAUAUGGAAUUCUGUUUACACGUGGGCUCCAGCUAGCAAACUGUGCAGGAAAGGGAGGCGUGGGGAGGCGUUGAAUGGAAACCUUCACAGAGACCAAUUUCUGCAGAUUCCCUGGGCAGCAUUGCCUCCUCCGAGGCAGCGGGAUGGAGGGUGUGGGGGUGGCAAUCAGCAUGUAUGCCAGAGAAG
rnacentral:lncRNA from 1 species